rnacentral:rRNA from 1 species
GACGAACGCUGGCGGCGUGCCUAAUACAUGCAAGUAGAACGCUGAAGGAGGAGCUUGCUUCUCUGGAUGAGUUGCGAACGGGUGAGUAACGCGUAGGUAACCUGCCUGGUAGCGGGGGAUAACUAUUGGAAACGAUAGCUAAUACCGCAUAAGAGUAGAUGUUGCAUGACAUUUGCUUAAAAGGUGCAAUUGCAUCACUACCAGGUGGACCUGCGUUGUAUUAGCUAGUUGGUGGGGUAACGGCUCACCAAGGCGACGAUACAUAGCCGACCUGAGAGGGUGAUCGGCCACACUGGGACUGAGACACGGCCCAGACUCCUACGGGAGGCAGCAGUAGGGAAUCUUCGGCAAUGGACGGAAGUCUGACCGAGCAACGCCGCGUGAGUGAAGAAGGUUUUCGGAUCGUAAAGCUCUGUUGUAAGAGAAGAACGAGUGUGAGAGUGGAAAGUUCACC